UUCUGCUACUCCACCAUCUGCUCAGAGUCUUGUACUCCGAUAUUUUGAAAUUUAUACUUAGUUUAACUCUGAAGUUAAUCAACAUCGCCAUCCUCCUUCAGCAUAAUACAAGGUCUUCCCAGGAUUCUUUUCCACAGUUAAAGGUUGUGUUGAUGGAUCCAUGUAAACCCCACUUUCUUGGUUCCCCUUUGCUUCUUGCAUCCAUUGAUUCUGCUGGGUGCAAUUUUCUUUUCGCUAGAAUGGUAAACUCAGUCUUCGUUCCCUCUGAAACGUCUUUAUUUCACUUUCUCUCAUGAAUAAUAGAUUAUCAGAGUGGAUAAGUCUAAGUGGAGGUAUUUCCUCUGAGCAUUUACAGAUAUUAUUCUGUUGUCUUCCAGCAUAAUUUUCUAGAACCUUUCAUCACUGAUGAGCUGUCUGGUGUCAUUCCUUACUUUGGUGUCUGCUGAUAAACUCAACAACCAAUAACAGAGAAACCUCAGGCUGAGAGAAUACAAGCAGAGUUAGAAUUCAAUCCCAGAUGUUUCAAAAUACAAAGCCUACUUUGACUAUGACAUCAUGCCAUCUCCUAAAUGCUACAGAGCAGUCACAAGAUCACUUCUCCCUCAAACUAACCUGGGAUCUCCUCUCCUUCCCAGUUCACAUGCACUUCUGAAUUAUGAGAGGGCCUGGCAGCCCCUCAUCCAUCCUCUCACUGGCACUUUCCCAAGGUUUCGUUUGUAAGUAUUACUGUGUGUUUGCGGGACCAGACUUAGAAAAUAGCCAGCGCUGGGGCCACCUGGGGGGCGCAGUCGUUAAGUGUCCGACCCUUGAUCUCAGCUCAGGUCAUGAUCUCAUGGUUCGUGGGUUUGAGCCCUGCAUCGGGGUUGUACUGAUAAUGUGGGGCCUCCUUGGGAUUCUCUCUCUCUCUCUCUCUCUCUCUCUCUCUCUCUGCCCUUCCCUCCCUUAAUAAAUAAAUAAACAUUAAAAAAAAAAAAAAACCAACACUAAGAUCAUAUAAGAGCCCUCCUUAGGAGUGUGAAAAUUCAAAUGAAAUGUAGGAGUCUUUUUUUAUUGUUAGUGUUCUUUUUUAUUUUUGUGUGUUUCUACUUUAUCCAUUGUAUGUGGACUUUGAGUUCGGCUGUAAUUUUACCUAAAGAAAGGGCUGCUCUUUGCCCUAAGCUUCUAAGAGGUGAUUUUCAAGCUCUUGGAAUGUCUUGUCUGGUCAGAGUAUCUUUGUUUAUCUGGGGGCCUGGGGUCAUGCUAGGUAGUCUACACUAGGCAUGUGAUUUAGGGUAGAGGCUUUGGGCUACACUGUAUUUGCUUGACCUUCAGAGGAGCUGGAAACUAAAGUCAGCCACUCAGCAGUCAGCUGUCUAGGAGACUGAGCCCCAGGAAAAACUCUGGACCUCGAGGCUCAGGUUGAGCUUCCUAGGUUGGCAGCGCUCCAUGCCUAUUCUCGCGCAUCAUUGACGGGUGAUAUUAGCUCAGACCACUACUUGAGUGACAGAGGGCAGCUGGAAGCUCUGGGCAUGGAACUUUCCUCAAGUCUGUCCCAUGUGCCUCUUCCUUAUGCUGAUUUUCAUCUGUGUCCUUCCGCUGUAAGAAACCAUACUAUUAACAGCUUUCAGUGAAUUCUGUGGGUCCUUCUAGUGAGUGGUCAAACUGAAGGUGGCCUUGGGAACCCCUGCAUUUACAAUUGGUGACAGAAAUGGGGGUGGUCUUGGGGACUCCUGAACUUUGUUGUGGUACAUCUGUUUUCAAAGCCCAGCCUCACCAUUUCUCAUUUUCUUAUCUGAAAAAUAGUGGUAACUGUGUUUACAGGGUUAUUGUGAUGGCUGAGUAAAGUGACAAAUAUGAAACAUCUGGAAUGGGGCCUUGCCUGUUACAGGCCUUUAAUAAAGGUUCUUUCCUAAAGGUGCUGAUAAUUUGACUUUUCCGUAAAGAAUACUACAGUAGCAUGUGGAGGAAUGUUUGCAAAGACUAUCUCCAAUGGUGAUAUUAAUAAAUAGCUCUUGACUUGCUCUUUUUCAACUGCUAUGCAGAAUUUCCUCCUUAUUUUUAACUCUUGCGUAUGUAGAAAUAUGAUGCCUUUGAAUGAUUAGAACUUUCCCAGUAGCUACAGAGUAUUUAUCAUUUAAAAGCUGGAAUAACUUCAGCACAGCAUGGUUGAGGCAUGAGAUUGACAGGCCAAAGUGGUAAGAAUUUUUGUGUGGGACAUUUGGAGUUUGAAGUAGCUAUGGAUAUUCUAUAUAGACUUUCCGUGUGGAAGAUACCGUGAAACUAAUGGGACGUCAAUUUUCAUCUACAAAAAAAGAAAAAGUGUGCUCACCUAU